rnacentral:rRNA from 1 species
AUUGAACGCUGGCGGCAGGCCUAACACAUGCAAGUCGAACGAGUGGCGGACGGGUGAGUAAUGUCUGGGCAACUGCCUGCUGGAGGGGGAUAACUCCUGGAAACGGUAGCUAAUACCGCAUACCAUCAGAUGUGCCCAGAGGGGAUUAGCUAGUUGGUGGGGUAAAGGCUCACCAAGGCGACGAUCCCUAGCUGGUCUGAGAGGAUGACCCGCCCUACUGGAACUGAGACCCGGUCCAGCCUCCUACGGUAGGCAGCAGUGGGGAAUAUUGCACAAUGGGCGAAAGCCUGAUGCAGCCAUGCCGCGUGUAUGAAGAAGGCCUUCGGGUUGUAAAGUACUUUCAGCGGGGAGGCGUUACCCGCAGAAGAAGCACCGGCUAACUCCGUGCCAGCCGCCGCGGUAAUAC